rnacentral:rRNA from 1 species
UAAUACGUAGGGUCCAAGCGUUGUCCGGAUUUAUUGGGCGUAAAGAGCUCGUAGGUGGUUCGCUAAGUCGGAUGUGAAAACUCGGGGCUCAACCCCGAGACGCCAUCCGAUACUGGCGUGACUUGAGUCUGGUAGGGGAGAUCGGAAUUCCUGGUGUAGCGGUGAAAUGCGCAGAUAUCAGGAGGAACACCGGUGGCGAAGGCGGAUCUCUGGGCCAGUACUGACACUGAGGAGCGAAAGCGUGGGUAGCAAACAGGAUUAGAUACCCUGGUAGUCCACGCCGUAAACGUUGGGCACUAGGUGUGGGGUCCUAUCGACGGAUUCCGUGCCGUAGCUAACGCAUUAAGUGCCCCGCCUGGGGAGUACGGCCGCAAGGCUA